GGAGAGAUGGCUGAGCGGUUGAAGGCACGCGACUCGAAAUCGCGCAUCCUGAGAAAUCGGGAUCGGGGGUUCGAAUCCCCCUCUCUCCG
rnacentral:tRNA from 1 species